AUGCCGCAGUCUGGAAUCUCUCACGUCACCUGCCCGCCCCGCGCAGCUCGGCUCAAUGGCCUUGAGCCAAGCCAAGAACGCCCCGCGCUGCGCCAAUGGGAAGCGGCAAGAGCAUUCUGGCCCCGCCCCUUGGACGCAGGCCCACGUAGCUCACACAUCACCCUGCUUGGCAACAGCCUACGCAUGCGUGCUACAUCCCGAGUCGUGAAGAAGCAGCCGCCAUCGCGCUCAAACAAAAUGGCGGCGGAAGCCGCGCCCGAAGUAAAGAAGGGCAGCGGCCAUCACGCCCCCAUCCCGCAGAGAGGGCCCGGGGCCAACACCUGCCCCACAGCAAAGCCCCCGGAGAGAAAGCCGCCGCGGCAGCAGCUCCCUCCGCCGCACCCAGGACCCCCCCCGGGGCUUGCCCGGCCCCCGCACGAACCUGGGCUGCGCCGGUGUGCGUGCAGGCCGAGGCCGGACGGGCGAGGCGAGCGCUACGAGCGAGUCCUAAGCAACCCUCGAUCCCUCCUCGUCGACGUCUGGCUCCCGACUGGCCAACGCGAUAGUGCUUCAGAGUUCAGAGCUCACCCGUGGUGGAACAGUGCUGGCACAAGAGAAGAUUAAUCGGAUGUACUUUUUGCUUAGCCCUUUAUCAUCAUUUCCGCUGCCUAGAAAUAGUCACAGGGCUCACACACAAGCCCUGUGGGAGAGAGAGCACAGCACAUAAUAAUGUGAUAAACAGAACGAUGUCGUUAGACAUUGGUAGCAGCUUUGCAAAUCAUCUGAGUUCACUGCAUGACGUACCAAGUUCUUCUGCCAUUCAUUCUCUCGGCGUGUCCCACCAGUUCCCAGGGGCUGGCAUUUUCCCAGCACUACAGUUAUUAUGAUCUCUAAUGAGCUAAACACAAAGGUGAAUGUCUGAUAAACAAGCAGAGGGAUGACUGCACGUUUUUACGAAAUAUCUUCCUGCUGAUCUCAGACAACAGAGAUUGAAAAGCCCAAGAAAACUUUUCAUUCUGUACCAUUUCCUCAGUUCUUUCUCCACUCCUUUUUUAAAAGCUUAAAGUGAUGGGGCUUCCACGACUCUUGGUGGGAGGUUAUUUAAGUCCAGCAGAUUGCACUGCCAGGAAUUUUUCCUAGUGUUUAACCUAAAUUUCCCUUUUUUUCUCCUGAAGUCCACACUGUUACUUUUUGUUCUAGACCUUUGAACCAGAGGAAAGAAUUCCUCUUCCUGCUGAGUAUAUUUCCCCUGGAAGGUUAUAUAAGCCUGCCUUAGUCAUCGCUGCUCAGCCAAGUUACACAUAUUUCACCCUUUUAAACUUUCCCUGCAAAUCCUUCCAGUCUCUGCUCACUUUAUUGCUCUUAUAUGAUCUUCCCUCACUUUGUCUAGGUUUUAGACUUAAAUACGGUGCUGCUGUUAUGAAAAAAUAGGUAUUGGUUUGCUUUGAACGUAUGGAUGCCUUCCCCCGCUGCCUCCCACCCUUUUCUACCAUCUGUCUCGCUGGGUAAACUGCCUAUCAGCUUUGAGAGCUGUUCUUGAGGCAGAACUGAAUACGUGUUACCAGGCAGACCUGACAUCGUUCUGCCUGUUUGUAGCUGCACUCUGGACACAGGCAUGAAAAUG
rnacentral:lncRNA from 1 species